UUGGCCCUGAAUCAAGACCAGCAGUUCGCUGAGGCUGUUGGUUUCAAGCAGGAGCCUAAAGAAAUGUCUUUCUAUGGUCUGUUGACCAUUUCAGAACUUAUGUAAUGGUCAAUUCAUUGGGAAGAAACACCA
ensembl:snoRNA